UACGGAGGGUGCGAGCGUUGUCCGGAAUCACUGGGCGAAAGGGCGCGUAGGCGGCCGAUCAAGUCGGGGGUGAAAGCCUGUGGCUUAACCACAGAAUGGCCUUCGAUACUGGGAGUCUCGAGUCCGGGAGAGGUGAGUGGAACUGCGAGUGUAGAGGUGAAAUUCGUAGAUAUUCGCAAGAACACCAGUGGCGAAGGCGGCUCAGCUGGCCCGGUACUGGACGCCGUGAGGU
rnacentral:rRNA from 1 species